rnacentral:rRNA from 1 species
UACGAAGGGUGCUAGCGUUGUUCGGAAUCACUGGGCGUAAAGCGCGCGUAGGCGGUUUAACAAGUCAGAGGUGAAAGCCCAGGGCUCAACCCUGGAAUUGCCUUUGAAACUGUUAGACUAGAGUGUCGGAGGGGAUAGCGGAAUUCCUAAUGUAGAGGUGAAAUUCGUAGAUAUUAGGAGGAACACCGGUGGCGAAGGCGGCUAUCUGGACGACGACUGACGCUGAGGCGCGAAAGCGUGGGGAUCAAACAGG